UACGUAGGUGGCAAGCGUUGUCCGGAUUUAUUGGGUUUAAAGGGUGCGUAGGCGGCCCUGUAAGUCAGUGCUGAAAUAUCCCAGCUUAACUGGGAGGGUGGCAUUGAUACUGCGGGGCUAGAGUACAGAUGAGGUAGGCGGAAUUGACGGUGUAGCGGUGAAAUGCUUAGGUAUCGUCAAGAACACCUAUAGCGAAGGCAGCUUACUAGGCUGUAACUGACGCUGAGGCACGAAAGUGUGGGGAUCAAACAGG
rnacentral:rRNA from 1 species